AAGGUUUUAAGUUAAUUAAACUAUUGGCCUUCAAAGCUAAAAAUAAAAACAUUUUUUAAGCCUUA
rnacentral:tRNA from 1 species